CUCAAUCACUCCACACAACCAAUCUGUUGUCAACUCUUGUCAUUUCUACAAUCAUGACAUCUCUGGUACACUGUUCUUUCUAUUCGACAUAGCUGCUACCCUGGGUCAAGCCCUCAUCAUCUCAUGCCUGAACUAUUUCAAUAGCCUUCUGAUUUAUUUGCCAGCCAAGCAGGAGCAUUAUAGAGGAUCUUCAAUGUCAUGGUCCCAGACAAUUCAUGUUUUGUUGGAUGAAGUCCACAAAAUAGUUUGAGAAUAUGUAAACUGAAAAUGAGUUUAUAACAAUAAGAUCAUGGCACCUAUGACAAGGAUGAACAGAACCUUCAUCACCCGGACAUCGCUAGAAAGAAACAGAGAGAUUGUUUCAGAUUAAAACUAUCAGAUUAAUAGUCU
rnacentral:lncRNA from 1 species